rnacentral:rRNA from 1 species
AUUGAACGCUGGCGGCAUGCCUUACACAUGCAAGUCGAACGGCAGCACGGGAGCUUGCUCCUGGUGGCGAGUGGCGAACGGGUGAGUAAUGCAUCGGAACGUGCCCUGAAGUGGGGGAUAACGUAGCGAAAGUUACGCAAUACCGCAUAUUCUGUGAGCAGGAAAGCAGGGGAUCUUCGGACCUUGCGCUUUUGGAGCGGCCGAUGUCGGAUUAGCUAGUUGGUGGGGUAAAGGCCCACCAAGGCGACGAUCCGUAGCGGGUCUGAGAGGAUGAUCCGCACACUGGAACUGAGACACGGUCCAGAC